rnacentral:rRNA from 1 species
UGGGGAAUAUUGCACAAUGGGCGAAAGCCUGAUGCAGCAACGCCGCGUGAGUGAUGAAGGCCUUCGGGUUGUAAAGCUCUGUCUUCUGGGACGAUAAUGACGGUACCAGAGGAGGAAGCCACGGCUAACUACGUGCCAGCAGCCGCGGUAAUACGUAGGGGGCAAGCGUUGUCCGGAUUUACUGGGCGUAAAGGGUGCUCAGGCGGAUUUGUAAGUCAGAGGUGAAAUCUUACAGCUUAACUGUGAAACUGCCUUUGAUACUGCAAGCCUAGAGUAUGGAAGAGAGUGAUGGAAUAUCUGGUGUAGCAGUGAAAUGCGUAGAUAUCAGAUAAAACACCAAUGGCGAAGGCAGUCACUUGGUCCAUUACUGACGCUAAAGCACGAAAGCGUGGGUAGCAAACA